rnacentral:rRNA from 1 species
AAUGAACGCUGGCGGCGUGCUUAACACAUGCAAGUCGCACGAGAACGCUUCAGCUUGCUGAAGCUAGUAAAGUGGCGUACGGGUGAGUAACGCGUGGGUAAUCUAUCUCUGAAUUGGGGAUAACAUUGCGAAAGCGAUGCUAAUACCGGAUAAUAUCCAAUAAACCUCGGUUUUUUUGGAUCAAAGGUGGCCUCUACAUGUAAGCUACUGUUUGGAGACGAGCCCGCGUACCAUUAGCUUGUUGGUAGGGUAAUGGCCUACCAAGGCAACGAUGGUUAGCUGGUCUGAGAGGAUGAUCAGCCACACUGGAACUGACACACGGUCCAGACUCCUACGGGAGGCAGCAGUGAGGAAUUUUGCGCAAUGGGGGAAACCCUGACGCAGCAACGCCGCGUGAGUGAUGAAGGCUUUCGGGUCGUAAAGCUCUG